rnacentral:rRNA from 1 species
CAGCCGCCGCGGGAAAACGAAGGGGGCUAGCGUUGCUCGGAAUGACUGGGCGUAAAGGGCGCGUAGGCGGCGGCCAAAGUCAGGCGUGAAAUUCCCGGGCUCAACCUGGGGGCUGCGUUUGAUACUUGGUUGCUUGAGUGGGGAAGAGGGUCGUGGAAUUCCCAGUGUAGAGGUGAAAUUCGUAGAUAUUGGGAAGAACACCGGUGGCGAAGGCGGCGACCUGGUCCUUGACUGACGCUGAGGCGCGAAAGCGUGGGGAGCAAACAGGAUUAGAUACCCCUGUAGUCCCUGUCUCUUAUAC